CUCGGUCUUUGUGAGGACACCCGGAAAGGCUGCGGUGGUGCGGGUACAGACCCGUCACAUGACCGGUACCGUCACAGCCCGGCGUCGGACACUUACUCUCCUUCUUCUCACCUCUGGAAGAAUCUAGAAAAGCAAAAAGAAACCUUGUUCGAGGCAGCUCAAUGGAGGAACUAUUUCCUUUGUGCAAAAUUACACCUCCCGGCCGAAUCACCACUGAGAAAGAGGCACGAAUCGAUUCACAGAUGAGACGCGAGGCCAGCCAGAGUGGACGUGCUGUCACGAGCACGAGCCUCCAGUCCGCGAGUCAAUGCACGAAAGGCACUCAUAGCCUCUGGCUGCCGCAGUGUGGAGGGUUACAGUAAGUCAGGCAGACAAGAUAAACUUCCUCCCUGCUGACCUGGGGUCAGAUUUCUGGAGUAAAAGCAGAUUCAGGUCAAAAGUGAUGCAAAGAAGUGAUGUGAAAUUGGCACAAUUUGGAGAGGAAGCAUGAUCAGAAGACUACUCUGGCGAUGGCCUUCUCCAGCAGCGACAGGUUUCCCUUGGCCAUGUCGAAGGUCUCGUCCGAGCGGUCAGAGGCCACUGACGUGGUAUCUUCAUCGCCCUCCUGGCUGCAGCUGGUCGGAUAACCUCUGGACGCGGGGCU